rnacentral:rRNA from 1 species
CAGCAGCCGCGGUAAUACGUAGGGUGCAAGCGUUAUCCGGAAUUAUUGGGCGUAAAGAGCUCGUAGGCGGUUUGUCGCGUCUGUCGUGAAAGUCCGGGGCUCAACUCCGGAUCUGCGGUGGGUACGGGCAGACUAGAGUGAUGUAGGGGAGACUGGAAUUCCUGGUGUAGCGGUGGAAUGCGCAGAUAUCAGGAGGAACACCGAUGGCGAAGGCAGGUCUCUGGGCAUUAACUGACGCUGAGGAGCGAAAGCAUGGGGAGCGAACAGGAUUAGAUACCCCCGUAGUCCCUGUCUCUUAUAC